AUUGAACGCUGGCGGCAUGCCUUACACAUGCAAGUCGAACGGCAGCACGGGUGCUUGCACCUGGUGGCGAGUGGCGAACGGGUGAGUAAUACAUCGGAACAUGUCCUGUAGUGGGGGAUAGCCCGGCGAAAGCCGGAUUAAUACCGCAUACGAUCUACGGAUGAAAGCGGGGGACCUUCGGGCCUCGCGCUAUAGGGUUGGCCGAUAGCUGAUUAGCUAGUUGGUGGGGUAAAGGCCUACCAAGGCGACGAUCAGUAGCUGGUCUGAGAGGACGACCAGCCACACUGGGACUGAGACACGGCCCAGACUCCUACGGGAGGCAGCAGUGGGGAAUUUUGGACAAUGGGCGAAAGCCUGAUCCAGCAAUGCCGCGUGUGUGAAGAAGGCCUUCGGGUUGUAAAGCACUUUUGUCCGGAAAGAAAUCCUUGGCCCUAAUACGGUCGGGGGAUGACGGUACCGGAAGAAUAAGCACCGGCUAACUACGUG
rnacentral:rRNA from 1 species